rnacentral:rRNA from 1 species
GAUGAACGCUGGCGGCGUGCCUAAUACAUGCAAGUCGAACGCUGGAGAUCUAGCUUGCUAGAUCGAAGGAGUGGCGAACGGGUGAGUAGUACAUAAGCAACCUACCCACGAAGACUGGGAUAAUCUCUGGAAACGGGGACUAAUACCGGAUAGGUAAUCGGAAGGCAUCUUCUGGUUAUUAAAGGUUAAAAACACUGGUGGAUGGGCUUAUGGCGCAUUAGUUAGUUGGUGAGGUAACGGCCCACCAAGACGAUGAUGCGUAGCCGGCCUGAGAGGGUGAACGGCCACAUUGGGACUGAGACACGGCCCAGACUCCUACGGGAGGCAGCAGUAGGGAAUUUUCGGCAAUGGGGGCAACCCUGACCGAGCAACGCCGCGUGAGUGAAGACGGCCUUCGGGUUGUAAAGCUCUGUUGUAAGGGAAGAACGGUAGAUAGAGAAUAUCUAAGUGACGGUACCUUACCAGAAAGCCACGGCUAACUACGUG